ACGGAGGGUGCAAGCGUUAUUCGGAAUUACUGGGCGUAAAGCGCGUGUAGGCGGCCCUGCAAGUCUGAUGUGAAAGCCCCGGGCUUAACCCGGGAAGUGCAUUGGAAACUGCAGGCCUCGAGUACUGGAGAGGGUAGUGGAAUUCCCGGUGUAGCGGUGAAAUGCGUAGAGAUCGGGAGGAACACCAGUGGCGAAGGCGGCUUCCUGGCCGGUAACUGACGCUCAUGUGCGAAAGCGGGGGGAGCGAACGG
rnacentral:rRNA from 1 species